rnacentral:rRNA from 1 species
UACGUAGGGGGCAAGCGUUGUUCGGAAUUACUGGGCGUAAAGGGCGCGUAGGCGGCCUGCUAAGUCACACGUGAAAUCCCUCGGCUCAACCGGGGAACUGCGUGUGAUACUGGCGGGCUUGAAUUCGGGAGAGGGAUGUGGAAUUCCAGGUGUAGCGGUGAAAUGCGUAGAGAUCCGGAGGAACACCAGAGGCGAAGGCGGCCUACUGGGCUGCACCUGACGCUGAGCCGCGAAAGCCAGGGGAGCGAACGGG